rnacentral:tRNA from 1 species
CAAGCGCAUUACGGAUGCACCAUGGUUUCGGCCCAUGCCUUGGAGACUCCCGCCCUCCCUUGC